rnacentral:rRNA from 1 species
UGGGGAAUCUUGCGCAAUGGGCGAAAGCCUGACGCAGCCAUGCCGCGUGAAUGAUGAAGGUCUUNGGAUUGUAAAUUCUUUCAGCGGGGACGAUAAUGACGGUACCCGCAGAAGAAGCCCCGGCUAACUUCGUGCCAGCGCCGCGGUAAUACGAAGGGGGCUAGCGUUGCUCGGAUUUACUGGGCGUAAAGGGCGCGUAGGCGGAUUGACAAGUUGGGGUGAAGCCCGGGGCUCAACCUCGGAAUAGCCUUCAAACUGUCAGUCUUGAGUUCGGGAGAGGUGAGUGGAACUCCGAGUGUAGAGGUGAAAUUUCCGUAGAUAUUCGGAAGAACACCAGUGGCGAAGGCGACUCACUGGCCCGAUACUGACGCUGAGGCGCGAAAGCGUGGGGAGCAAACAGGAUUAGAUACCCGUGGUAGUCCACGCUGUAAACGAUGAGUGCUAGUUGUCGGCAGGCAUGCCUGUCGGUGACGCAGCUAACGCAUUAAG